rnacentral:piRNA from 1 species
UCUCAGCAGAUGUAGGAUCCCACCGA